UCAAGGUCACGUCAGAGCGGUGUUGAUGUGGAGAGGCAGACCAAGACCACCACCAUACGCGAAGAUGAGCCUCGAGGCGUGACAGUUCUUUUUUCAAACUGAGGACUUCGGACUCCGGACCGGCAUUUCUGCUAUUUGUACCCUGAGAUAACCAUGGUUAAUAAAUGGUCAGACACGUCACUGGCUUUAAAAUAUAAACCCCAUUGAUGCAAAAAGAUGCUGCAUGGAAUGACAAUGUGGUUUGGAACAGACUUGGUGAAGAACAUGGAAACAUCUCUUAAUAAAAUGGCCCCAAACAUCAUCAGGAGUGCAAAAGAAGGAAGUAAAAACAUCUCUACGCCAAUCUCAUUGGAGAGGAAACCACAGAAGGUCUGGUGAGGAAUGCUGCACUUAUGUUAUUGCAAGCAUUAUUUCAAGAAAAUCCCAGCUUCCUUUACUGUGUAAAUAGUGUAAGUAUAGUCUUCUGUAAUUUAGUUAGCAUUUGAGGCACUUUAUUUAAAGUAACAUUCAAUGCAAAUAUAAAACUAUUACUCUGUUUACCCUUAAAUAGCAUACAGCUCCACAUCAAUUAUUAUGAGUCUUGUUGGUUCGUGAGUGUCGCUUGCCUAGUUGUCAUACUUUAUUUGUGUUAUUAUUGGAUAAUUUUAAGUCUAUUUGAUGGCUUCUGUUAAUUGGUAAAA